UUAUUUGGGAAAUAUUUUAGAGCAUGAGUAAAGAAUUUAAGAUAUAUGAAAAACAUAAAUCUAUGACAUUACUGGGGAUACAGUAGCUUCGUUCCACCUGUAGAUUACCUCUAUGCUGCUCUGGCCUCUAGAUUUGCCGACAAAAUUACGAACCCUAAAUUCCCAAAAUACACAAGAAUGGCGUCAUCGAUCACAGCGGCUGCCAUCUGCUGCUGCGUGCCCACAUCAAUUUUCGUGGUUUUGCUUCUGGUCUAACCGUCGGAAUCUCUAUUGUCGUGAGGACGGCUCUGGCGAUCGCUUUGGGAUUUGCAUGCUGUCGUCAUGCAUCUUCAUUUGGAGCUCUCAGUGUUUCAGUACCUAAACCAGUGGGCAACGCAUCAGCAGAUGAUGUGAUGAAGGAAGAUCUUGUCGCAAGAAAUUAAGACGACAAAAUGAGAAGGUCGGAAGAUAUGUUGCUCAGAGACCUCUGAAGUUGGUGGACUGAAAACAGUUUAUGACAGAUUUUUGGUUGCAUAUUCCGGUAGACAAACCAUUCAUACUCUAAAACACGACCCAGAUUUCUGAAGUACUCGGGAAGUUUCGUGAUGGUGGUGGUUUAACUUGUAAAACGCUGAAAUUAUGAGCUGUCGGAAACCAAGCGCACUGACAUACAGAAAAUUGUAAUGUCAAUGUUAUGUAAUCUUGGGCACCGUUGAGAUUGUGGGUGUUUACGACAUAGAAGGUGCGGAUGUUGUUUCUGGCUUUUCGUCUUGGUGUAAAUAUAGGGGAUUUCAUAUA